ensembl:lncRNA
GUGAAUCUCGCGUAAUCAUUACACGGAGCAGGUGUUUGGCAUUUCAAUUGCGCAAUAAUUUACUUAACGUGCGGGUGAUUAAAACUGCAGGGCGCGGUAUAUAAUGGGAUUUCAUACGUCUUUCCGGCAUGUGCAUACUAGAAUGGCGUAUGGGAAAAUACGGGAGAGUCUGUUCCUUAUACUAAUUUCUUUUGCAUGCAUUACUUUAGUACAGUGUGGACAUGUAGCACAAUUGUCUGAAAAUGAAAAAGCAAAUGAUGGUGGCGAAAUUAUAUCAGAACAAUAUAUGUUUGACCGCGACCGAUAUGAGGCUUUACCUGGUUUUGAGUAUCUUGGUGAUGACGCCAUUGUCUCAGAUCUGAGGUGUGGUGAUGAUCUUAUGAAGUUGCAGCUCAGUGGUCCUGAAGUAGCACAAAUUGAGCUUUGUCGGGGUAAUGGGGCAGCUGUUCCCCUCAGUGAGUUGCCGCCUAACUGUGGAUCUACCAUACCCACUUAUGGUGGUCUUAUCUAUGCUACCCCCUAUGAUGGAUGUGGCGUUGCACAACAGGGAGGGAGUUAUGUGAUGCAGAUGCAAUGGCAGGGAAACCGUGCAGUCAUUUCUUGUCCUAUGACCUCUACAACUGCAAACGACACUUUUCUAGGACCUCAUGAUCCUUCAUAUCAGCAGAUUCUGCUGCCUCCCCUUUAUCCUGAUGAAUUUAAUCUACAAAUAAGUACAAUGCCAGAACUAUCUGCAGCUCUCAAACCGCCAUUUUAUGGCUACCCUGAAGAGUUUCAGCAAGGGUUUUGGCCUUACAACUACCCUCGUUACCAAUAUUCUGGCAAGGGUUAUCCCACAGCUGAGCCAGCAGGGCAAUCUCCAUCAGAUGCCCAAGUGCCAACCCAGAAACCUCAGUUUCCAAAGUACCCCCCUAUGAUGUGGCCAUAUCCCACAGCUAAGCCAGCAGGGCAAUCUCCAUCAGAUGGCCAAGUGCCAACCCAGAAACCUCAGUUUCCAAAGUACCCCCCUAUGAUGUGGCCAUAUCCCACAGCUAAGCCAGCAGGGCAAUCUCCAUCAGAUGGCCAAGUGCCAACCCAGAAACCUCAGUUUCCAAAGCACCCCCAUAUGAUGUGGCCAUAUCCCUAUUCCCAUUAUCCUGGCAAGGGUUAUCCCACAGAUAAGCCAGCAGGGCAAUCUCCAGCAGAUGGCCAAGUGCCAACCCAGAAACCUCAGUUUCCAAAGCACCCCCAUAUGAUGUGGCCAUAUCCCUAUUCCCAUUAUCCUGGCAAGGGUUAUCCCACAGAUAAGCCAGCAGGGCAAUCUCCAGCAGAUGGCCAAGUGCCAACCCAGAAACCUCAGUUUCCAAAGCACCCCCAUAUGAUGUGGCCAUAUCCCUAUUCCCAUUAUCCUGGCAAGGGUUAUCCCACAGAUAAGCCAGCAGGGCAAUCUCCAGCAGAUGGCCAAGUGCCAACCCAGAAACCUCAGUUUCCAAAGCACCCCCAUAUGAUGUGGCCAUAUCCCUAUUCCCAUUAUCCUGGCAAGGGUUAUCCCACAGAUAAGCCAGCAGGGCAAUCUCCAGCAGAUGGCCAAGUGCCAACCCAGAAACCUCAGUUUCCAAAGCACCCCCAUAUGAUGUGGCCAUAUCCCUAUUCCCAUUAUCCUGGCAAGGGUUAUCCCACAGAUAAGCCAGCAGGGCAAUCUCCAGCAGAUGGCCAAGUGCCAACCCAGAAACCUCAGUUUCCAAAGCACCCCCAUAUGAUGUGGCCAUAUCCCUAUUCCCAUUAUCCUGGCAAGGGUUAUCCCACAGAUAAGCCAGCAGGGCAAUCUCCAGCAGAUGGCCAAGUGCCAACCCAGAAACCUCAGUUUCCAAAGCACCCCCAUAUGAUGUGGCCAUAUCCCUAUUCCCAUUAUCCUGGCAAGGGUUAUCCCACAGAUAAGCCAGCAGGGCAAUCUCCAGCAGAUGGCCAAGUGCCAACCCAGAAACCUCAGUUUCCAAAGCACCCCCAUAUGAUGUGGCCAUAUCCCUAUUCCCAUUAUCCUGGCAAGGGUUAUCCCACAGAUAAGCCAGCAGGGCAAUCUCCAGCAGAUGGCCAAGUGCCAACCCAGAAACCUCAGUUUCCAAAGCACCCCCAUAUGAUGUGGCCAUAUCCCUAUUCCCAUUAUCCUGGCAAGGGUUAUCCCACAGAUAAGCCAGCAGGGCAAUCUCCAGCAGAUGGCCAAGUGCCAACCCAGAAACCUCAGUUUCCAAAGCACCCCCAUAUGAUGUGGCCAUAUCCCUAUUCCCAUUAUCCUGGCAAGGGUUAUCCCACAGAUAAGCCAGCAGGGCAAUCUCCAGCAGAUGGCCAAGUGCCAACCCAGAAACCUCAGUUUCCAAAGCACCCCCAUAUGAUGUGGCCAUAUCCCUAUUCCCAUUAUCCUGGCAAGGGUUAUCCCACAGAUAAGCCAGCAGGGCAAUCUCCAGCAGAUGGCCAAGUGCCAACCCAGAAACCUCAGUUUCCAAAGCACCCCCAUAUGAUGUGGCCAUAUCCCUAUUCCCAUUAUCCUGGCAAGGGUUAUCCCACAGAUAAGCCAGCAGGGCAAUCUCCAGCAGAUGGCCAAGUGCCAACCCAGAAACCUCAGUUUCCAAAGCACCCCCAUAUGAUGUGGCCAUAUCCCUAUUCCCAUUAUCCUGGCAAGGGUUAUCCCACAGAUAAGCCAGCAGGGCAAUCUCCAGCAGAUGGCCAAGUGCCAACCCAGAAACCUCAGUUUCCAAAGCACCCCCAUAUGAUGUGGCCAUAUCCCUAUUCCCAUUAUCCUGGCAAGGGUUAUCCCACAGAUAAGCCAGCAGGGCAAUCUCCAGCAGAUGGCCAAGUGCCAACCCAGAAACCUCAGUUUCCAAAGCACCCCCAUAUGAUGUGGCCAUAUCCCUAUUCCCAUUAUCCUGGCAAGGGUUAUCCCACAGAUAAGCCAGCAGGGCAAUCUCCAGCAGAUGGCCAAGUGCCAACCCAGAAACCUCAGUUUCCAAAGCACCCCCAUAUGAUGUGGCCAUAUCCCUAUUCCCAUUAUCCUGGCAAGGGUUAUCCCACAGAUAAGCCAGCAGGGCAAUCUCCAGCAGAUGGCCAAGUGCCAACCCAGAAACCUCAGUUUCCAAAGCACCCCCAUAUGAUGUGGCCAUAUCCCUAUUCCCAUUAUCCUGGCAAGGGUUAUCCCACAGAUAAGCCAGCAGGGCAAUCUCCAGCAGAUGGCCAAGUGCCAACCCAGAAACCUCAGUUUCCAAAGCACCCCCAUAUGAUGUGGCCAUAUCCCUAUUCCCAUUAUCCUGGCAAGGGUUAUCCCACAGAUAAGCCAGCAGGGCAAUCUCCAGCAGAUGGCCAAGUGCCAACCCAGAAACCUCAGUUUCCAAAGCACCCCCAUAUGAUGUGGCCAUAUCCCUAUUCCCAUUAUCCUGGCAAGGGUUAUCCCACAGAUAAGCCAGCAGGGCAAUCUCCAGCAGAUGGCCAAGUGCCAACCCAGAAACCUCAGUUUCCAAAGCACCCCCAUAUGAUGUGGCCAUAUCCCUACUCCCAUUAUCCUGGCAAGGGUUAUCCCACAGCUGAGCCAGCAGAGGAGUCUUCUACAGAUGACCAAGCACCAGACCAGAAACCUCAGUUUCCAAAGCACCCCCAUAUGAUGUGGCCAUAUCCCUACUCCCAUUAUCCUGGCAAGGGUUAUCCCACAGCUGAGCCAGCAGGGCAAUCUCCAUCAGAUGGCCAAGUGCCAACCCAGAAACCUCAGUUUCCAAGGCACCCCCAUAUGUGGCCAUAUUACUACAGUGACUAUCAUGGCAAACCAAAUACCACUGUGAAACCAGCUCCAGCCAUCCCCACUCCUCUCCCACCAGAUUCGCCAGCAAUAAACCAGAAACCGCAACCCCCAGUGUACCCUGGAAGUCUAUUCCCUCAGCAUAGCCAUUACCCCAAUUUCCCAGAUUAUUUGCAGCAGUUUUAUCCACAAUACCCAGUGCAACCUCAGAAAACCCCUACCGCACCACCUAUAACCACCACUCCUCAACCCUGUACUACAACUGCAGCAGCUGAAUGCAAACCUUCUGCCAACCAGCCUCCCAAAGAGCCACCCCAAUACUAUAAACCACCCAGUUAUAUGCAUUAUGAAAAAGACCCAUUCGCACUUAAAUUUGUGGAUUUUUCAGAAUCUGAUAGGAAAUCUUUCCCACGAAAUUAAUGAGGACCGAGGACAGUAGAAUUAGGUGGGUUAUGUCUUCCAUGUGGCUUUGAAAAAGAUUGCCUCCUAAUGUUAAUAUAGGUUGUGUAUGGGGCGACUGUAAAGUGACUCCUGCUCAUUUGUUUUGUCCUUGUUCUCUCAAAUGAUUCAAUAAAUCAAAUGGUCAGACAUCCUUUGUCUUCCA